rnacentral:lncRNA from 1 species
AUACCUCGUCUGGUAUGAGGGUGAAGCAGGCUGUCCCCAUACCCCGUUCGGUAUGAACGCCAAAACAUUUAAAGUCUCCAUACCCCGUCCGGUAUGAUAUAACGUUCCCGGUAGGGAUCCCUAUGAACCCGGUCCGUCCACCAUCUCUUAGGAUAUCUAGUGAGGCUGUCAUCUUAUCCAAUUAUCAAUUCGCAUCCCAUUCCUAUUUGUCCUUAGUCUCCGUUACCAACUCAAACAUGAAUACUUAAACAAACAACGUGCAUCCAACAAGGCAAGCAUAUCUUAGAUUUACAAAAUCAAGCAGUAGUGAAAUAAAUAGUGAUUCAUGCAUUCAAAAUCAUAGAAUAAAUAAACCAGAUACCAUAAUGCAUUUAAACUGUAAAAUAAAUCAAACAGGAUUUGACAGAGAAAUAUGUCCGAUUCAGGCUCCAUUAGCAACCGUAAUUAAUUAUGCAUAUCUACUCAGUUUUAUCAUUUAUUCAUACUUCAAUCCCAUGAUAGGAAAUAGGGUGAGAGGUCCUUACUUGAUUCGACGUCGAAAACUGAAUUUUCACUGUGCCUACGGGCGGUCCCUGGGUUUCCUGAAUUUUUUUUUUGGGAACUGAAACGCGCUUACGGUAUCUACACAUUUUCACUGUGCCUACAGACCCAGGGCCUACUUGGCCAAUUUCAAAAUUUCGGCACAGUGCCACCGCCGCGAGCAGCGGCGAUCUGCCUCAGGUUGGUUGUUUUUGGUCGAAUUCAGCCAAAAUUGCGUUGGUUCCUGUGAGAAAAUACCCCUAGGGCCCUCGGUGGGCCGAAAAAACACCAAAAAUUGAAACUUACCGGCGGCAGGACUCUCCGGUGCGGUGGCUCCUCCGGCUCGAGUUGCGAUUUGGUGUUUUACUCUGGUCAACCUAUAGAGGAGGGAACGAUGGUCAAAAUGGUGAAAAAAUUAUAUCGAACGGGAAUUAGGAAGGGCCUGAUCGGAGGCAAAAAUUGAAAAAACCCGCAGCAGCGCCGCUGGGCUUCGGCGGCAUUUUUCAGCCAAUUAGCCGAUGUUUUUUGUCAGAUUUGGCCAUAGGUGGGCUCAACAUCGAAUUCUGAGCCAAUGAGAGAAUUUUUACCUCGUUUGGCGGCCAGAAAUUGCUCCGGUGUGGCGCCAGGUGGCGGCGGUCGGCUCCCCGGCGGCUGGGCUAUUUUCUCUGGCGAUGGGCUCUGGCGGGUAGGGUUAGGGUUUGGGUGCGGAUGAGAUUAUUUAUAACCAUCAACUUUUAAUCUAAGUCGUUCAUCGCGAUUAAAUAGGAAAUGAAUCUGGACCGUUCAUCGCGAUGCAAUCUUGGUCGUCCGUGCGUGAUUCAAUCUGGUCUAUCUGUGCCCGUGCAAUCUGGGCCGUCCGUGCGUGUUUUUGAUCUGGGUCAUCCGUGCGCGCGAGAACGGAUCUCAGCCGUUUGAUCACGCACACGCGGAUCACCCACGUGGCUCCCUUCUGCGUUGCCUCUCGCGUCAGCAUCUCUGCCACACGGCGUGUCCUGGUUGGCCAGGGCUGCUGACCGAGCUGCAAUCUUUUUAAAUUACGUUUUGACUCCCAGUUUUCAAUUUUCUUUUCAAAAAUACCCCUAGAACCCAAAAUUUUACCCUU